rnacentral:rRNA from 1 species
UACGGAGGAUCCGAGCGUUAUCCGGAUUUAUUGGGUUUAAAGGGAGCGUAGGUGGAUUGUUAAGUCAGUUGUGAAAGUUUGCGGCUCAACCGUAAAAUUGCAGUUGAAACUGUCAGUCUUGAGUACCGGAGAGGUCAUCGGAAUUCCUUGUGUAGCGGUGAAAUGCGUAGAUAUAAGGAAGAACACCAGUGGCGAAGGCGGAUGACUGGACGGCAACUGACGGUGAGGCGCGAAAGCGUGGGGAGCAAACAGG